GCUUCUCAAUGCAGAACCGUCCCACUCUGCCUGCUCAACCUGUGCCCAGGUGUCUUCAAUUCCCACUCUCACAGAGCCCUCCUCCUCCCUCUCACACUGCCCUACUUGGGGCUAAUCAGGGCUCACUGUGGGAGUUCAGGGGAGCUGUUGAGUGUGGGCAGUAGGUAGUUGUGGGUAGUGAGAGUUCAGGGUAUUUCCUGGGGAGGGGAGCAAUCAAAUAUCAGAGAUCCCCUGGUACAAUAUUUCCUGCUUUCUCCUCCUAACCUCUGCCUCCUAUUCAGUGCAGGAGAGUGGGGUUUUUCAAUAAAGUUUCUGCAGGCUAGAAGAUCCACCUCCCUGCUGUAUGGUUUCCUUACCACCAUUGGAUAAGUAACAAGCCCAAGGUUGACCUGAAAUGAAGGCCCUUCUGGACCCUCUGACCUGAGGGAUCAACCCUGUCUUUCUUGAGCAGAGACACCUCCACAUGGCAAGCAGAGCCUGAAAGAGAAACUAAGGCACAGAGAGCCGAAUUGACUUCUCCAAACUCACUUAUGCCUUCCGCCUUUGAGAAACAACUUGCUUGCCUUUCACAGUGGUCAGUCGGACACAAGUUCCCAAGACAUAUGACCUACCCUAUCAGAUUUGCUGCUAGUGGAUCCCUGGUGACUGAUAGACCAGCUCAGUCAUUCCCUCAGAGCUUGCAAGCUCCCAGCACCAGCUGGCUUUGACAUUAGGCCCCGCCUGAUGUUACUGCUCCAGGACCUCCUCAAGUACCUCCGAUCUCCCCGUAAGUCUGCUGAUUUACUGUUCCCACUGGCCAGUU
rnacentral:lncRNA from 1 species